AGCGAACGCUGGCGGCAGGCCUAACACAUGCAAGUCGAACGAACCUUUCGGGGUUAGUGGCGGACGGGUGAGUAACACGUGGGAACGUGCCUUUAGGUUCGGAAUAACUCAGGGAAACUUGUGCUAAUACCGAAUGUGCCCUUCGGGGGAAAGAUUUAUCGCCUUUAGAGCGGCCCGCGUCUGAUUAGCUAGUUGGUUGAGGUAAUGGCUCACCAAGGCGACGAUCAGUAGCUGGUCUGAGAGGAUGAUCAGCCACAUUGGGACUGAGACACGGCCCAAAAGCCUGGGGGGGGCAGGAGUGGGGAGUGUGGCGAAAUGUGGGAAGUACUGACGACGCGGUGCGUAGUGAAUGAGAAAGUUCUUAUGAUGAUAAACGGCUGUCACAGGCGCAAAGACUGACGGUACCCGGAGAGGAGGCCACGGCUACCUUGGUGCCAGGAGCCGUGUUAUUAAUCGGACGGCAUACGUCGGACC
rnacentral:rRNA from 1 species